GCUAAUACCCGCAUACUGUGUGUAAGCACCGAUUGCAAUUAUAAGUUGCGCAUGUAGAUAUCGGUCUUCUCCCGACAUGCGCUCUGAUGACGGUUCCAUUUCCGCCAACUUAGGGUGAGAGUUAAGAGCCGGAGCCCUGUUGCCACCUGCAAAAUGCCUUAGCAACAUGUGGCAACUAUCUGCCCGAAGCAAGUUGCAAGCCAGCCCAGUUCAGGUUGCCACAUGCCAUGCUGGGUAUUCCCAGCGCGCUAGCGCACCUGCUUGGGCAGCUCGCUAUGGCUGCCGUCGACAGUUGACCCUGGUAUGCCAUCGCUAGAGUCGCAGCCCGCUCCGGCCAACCUCGCUCCUCCGCAACCGACACACGAACCCGACGUCUGACGUGGAAAUGGAUCUGGGGGACUGCGGGGUUUUGGGGUGUGUUGGGUUGGUGGCGUGAAGGGUGUGAUUUGUGAGGAAUUUAUCGAUGCAUGCCAAGUUGCACGCCUUUCCCCUGUGUUUCCUACAUGCCCCUGAACCCUCCCUUUGCUGGCUGCAGGCGAAGCGACAAGUGGUACCGCUGGUACCACCCACGGGGGCCUUGUGCCCAAGCCGUGGUGGCGCAUGGUAACUAUACACGUGGCGGUCAUCGACAUUGCUUUGUGCCGGCGCGCAGCACCCAGGAUGUGCGGCGAUCGCUGAAAUGCAGUUGUGGGGUCCACACUCAUAUGGCACCCACGCCCCACACAGCACUGAUGCAGGGCUCCUGCAGCCGUCACGCCAUGGGAAUCAGCAUAUGGGCAGUGGCCUGUGCAUACUUCUCUGUGGCCUGGCGGGGCAUCUGGCCAGGGCGUUUGACUAGCGGCAUGGGGCCUGCACGCCGGUAGGGGGGCGCAGGCCCAAAAUGAUGCAAGGAAGCUGAUGUGUUGCGUGAGGUGCGCAGCGGUUCCUGAUGGACGUGGGUGCUUUCAUGCGUAUGUAUAUUGGCUAUGUGUGUUGAUCUUUGCACCAGGGUGGUGUCGCCGCGCAGCGGAGCAUUGGUGUUGGUGCACGGGGCGUGAACAUUGGGGCCCGCAGUUGGGAUCGCGCCGGCACGGUCGCGGGCACCGCUGAAGAUAUGUUGGCGCGACCGGUCGCUUAUGGUGCACGCUAAUACCCGCAUACUGUGUGUAAGCACCGAUUGCAAUUAUAAGUUGCGCAUGUAGAUAUCGGUCUUCUCCCGACAUGCGCUCUGAUGACGGUUCCAUUUCCGCCAACUUAGGGUGAGAGUUAAGAGCCGGAGCCCUGUUGCCACCUGCAAAAUGCCUUAGCAACAUGUGGCAACUAUCUGCCCGAAGCAAGUUGCAAGCCAGCCCAGUUCAGGUUGCCACAUGCCAUGCUGGGUAUUCCCAGCGCGCUAGCGCACCUGCUUGGGCAGCUCGCUAUGGCUGCCGUCGACAGUUGACCCUGGUAUGCCAUCGCUAGAGUCGCAGCCCGCUCCGGCCAACCUCGCUCCUCCGCAACCGACACACGAACCCGACGUCAGACGUGGAAAUGGAUCUGGGGGACUGCGGGGUUUUGGGGUGUGUUGGGUUGGUGGCGUGAAGGGUGUGAUUUGUGAGGAAUUUAUCGAUGCAUGCCAAGUUGCACGCCUUUCCCCUGUGUUUCCUACAUGCCCCUGAACCCUCCCUUUGCUGGCUGCAGGCGAAGCGACAAGUGGUACCGCUGGUACCACCCACGGGGGCCUUGUGCCCAAGCCGUGGUGGCGCAUGGUAACUAUACACGUGGCGGUCAUCGACAUUGCUUUGUGCCGGCGCGCAGCACCCAGGAUGUGCGGCGAUCGCUGAAAUGCAGUUGUGGGGUCCACACUCAUAUGGCACCCACGCCCCACACAGCACUGAUGCAGGGCUCCUGCAGCCGUCACGCCAUGGGAAUCAGCAUAUGGGCAGUGGCCUGUGCAUACUUCUCUGUGGCCUGGCGGGGCAUCUGGCCAGGGCGUUUGACUAGCGGCAUGGGGCCUGCACGCCGGUAGGGGGGCGCAGGCCCAAAAUGAUGCAAGGAAGCUGAUGUGUUGCGUGAGGUGCGCAGCGGUUCCUGAUGGACGUGGGUGCUUUCAUGCGUAUGUAUAUUGGCUAUGUGCUUCCANNNNNNNNNNNNNNNNNNNNNNNNNNNNNNNNNNNNNNNNNNNNNNNNNNNNNNNNNNNNNNNNNNNNNNNNNNNNNNNNNNNNNNNNNNNNNNNNNNNNUGCCUUAGCAACAUGUGGCAACUAUCUGCCCGAAGCAAGUUGCAAGCCAGCCCAGUUCAGGUUGCCACAUGCCAUGCUGGGUAUUCCCAGCGCGCUAGCGCACCUGCUUGGGCAGCUCGCUAUGGCUGCCGUCGACAGUUGACCCUGGUAUGCCAUCGCUAGAGUCGCAGCCCGCUCCGGCCAACCUCGCUCCUCCGCAACCGACACACGAACCCGACGUCACUUGAUCCCACAAUUCCAGCGACUUUUGCGACCGGCUCUCCACCGACCGCUUGGAUGCUUGCGCCCGGUCGCUGCCCCAGCUACUUCCGCGGUGAAAUAACAACGGUGAGCAC
rnacentral:lncRNA from 1 species